ensembl:lncRNA
CAGAGACAGAGAUGUUUUGAUGUUAUGAGCAUCAGUUUCUGCUCUCAGCUUUCAUGUUAGCAGAGUUUAACCAGUAUAAAACCUGUUAGAGGAUCAUCAAUUGGGUUUGCCUUAGUUUGACUUUGUUCUGUUGUAAGUCUGAGCUGAUAUUUUUUCUUUAACGUUGGGGUCUGAAGAAAAAACAGUAUGUGUAGAAGUGUGUUUCGGUUUGCACCACUUCUGUUUCUGUUGGGGAUGUACACCGCCAGUGAAGUGACCCUACUGAAAACAUUGGAGAUCGGAGGAACAGAUGUCACUCACAUUUGCCAAAAUCAUACAAUGUCUGAUAUGUUGUUGAUAACAUGUAAAAGAAAUGGGGAGCACAAGUGUCACAUCUCAUUACGGUUUGACAAAAAUUAUACAAAUAGCACUUGUGACUCCAGGGUCAAUCUACAGAAUGAUGGUGGCAGAGUGUUUCUACACAUCACUAACAUACAACCAUCAGAUGAAGGGUUUUACAACUGUGAGUGUGUAUAUCAUGGAGGAACAGAAAAUAUUACUCUUCAUUUUAAUAUUUCUGUCAAUGACUAUCACAGUCUUUACCCCACUCAGACGAUAACAGGCAUCACAGUAUUUAUAGCUGUAGUGAUCUUCACUGCCAUAAUCAUGAGGAAAGUUCAACUCAGGAGGGGAACUCAGACAAAGCUGCUUUACCCCUCCAACGAGACAAAGGUGGUAAGAAUUUGUCUGCAGAGUAUUUUAGUUCAACAUUUCAAUUUGACAACAUUAAUGAAAAAAAAAACAUUGCCUUCAGAUUACAUUUUACAGUGAAUACAAUGUCUUUCUAGGAGGAGCAGCAACCAGACAUCGAGCCCUACGACACAUUCAUGAAGAGAGACAACACGGUUUACUCAACCCUUCAGCAGCCAGAUCCUAACCCCUGACCCUGACUUACUGGCACUGUUGACCAAUGACAACAUGCUAAAGCAUGUAGUGGGUUGAAUGUUAUUUCACCAGCCCUGGAAAUGCCUGCAGCCAUACAUUAUAGAUGUAGUUGUUUUGUUCAACACUAGAACCGCCACGGGGUAAAUUAUACUUGUGAAUUUUCUUUGUACAUAACUAAGUUUGAAUAAAAUAUUGAGGUCUUCCAGCCUUUGACUUUUACUAAAAAAUAUGGGCAUUUAUACCUAUAACCGCCACAGGGUAAAUUUUACCCGUAUA